AGCGGCGGACGGGUGAGUAACACGUGGGUAACCUACCUAUAAGACUGGGAUAACUUCGGGAAACCGGAGCUAAUACCGGAUAACAUUUAGAACCGCAUGGUUCUAAAGUGAAAGAUGGUUUUGCUAUCACUUAUAGAUGGACCCGCGCCGUAUUAGCUAGUUGGUAAGGUAACGGCUUACCAAGGCGACGAUACGUAGCCGACCUGAGAGGGUGAUCGGCCACACUGGAACUGAGACACGGUCCAGACUCCUACGGGAGGCAGCAGUAGGGAAUCUUCCGCAAUGGGCGAAAGCCUGACGGAGCAACGCCGCGUGAGUGAUGAAGGGUUUCGGCUCGUAAAACUCUGUUAUUAGGGAAGAACAAAUGUGUAAGUAACUGUGCACAUCUUGACGGUACCUAAUCAGAAAGCCACGGCUAACUACGUGCCAGCAGCCGCGGUAAUACGUAGGUGGCAAGCGUUAUCCGGAAUUAUUGGGCGUAAAGCGCGCGUAGGCGGUUUCUUAAGUCUGAUGUGAAAGCCCACGGCUCAACCGUGGAGGGUCAUUGGAAACUGGGAAACUUGAGUGCAGAAGAGGAAAGUGGAAUUCCAUGUGUAGCGGUGAAAUGCGCAGAGAUAUGGAGGAACACCAGUGGCGAANGCGACUUUCUGGUCUGUAACUGACGCUGAUGUGCGAAAGCGUGGGGGAUCAAACAGGAUUA
rnacentral:rRNA from 1 species